GGGGCAGCUGAAACGAAGCCUGACAUUCGCCUCCCCAGCUCCUCCCUCCUUCCCUCUCCCCCCCCAUCCGCCCCCUCCAGGUCACGUGCUUCCAGUCCGGGCACCGACGGACUAUUUCUCCCUUUCCGCGGAAGGACAUAAAUGACAUCGCAAACUCAAGUCACCUUCGACUUCAGCUGUACCACGCCUUUUUCUCGCCUCAUAGCCCAAGACAGAAAGUUUGCCAGAUACACAGUGCUUGAGCGCCCUGACCACUAAUUCGGGAGUGGCCCCUUUAAAUGCAAAUGAACCGCCUUCUCGCUCUCGCCCCCCCCACCCCCAGCCUAACUUCGCUCCUCGUGCCCAGACUCCGCCAGCUGCCAUUGACGUCACGCGUGCGUCAGCGUCGCCAGCCCAACCAGACGGCACGUGGGGGGAAGAAGGUGGCCUUAAAGGGCCAGACGCCUUCGGCUUGCCGGGUUGCUGUUCUGAGUUUGGCCUUGAGAAAGAGGAAUGAGAUGAGAGGGGCGCAGGAAGUCAGGCGUGCAGCCAGAGUUAUCAAGAAAGAGCCGAGAAAGCAUCUUCUGUUGGAGAGGUGAGUAAUGACAGCAGGGGACAGAGGGGCUGUCUUCUCCCAGGUCCUCUGGCAAGACCUAUUUAAAGCGGAGACCAGAGAAUGGGAGUUCUAGAACGGUGAGAAUAGACUCCCCACCCACUCGUUCACAACUUCCUGUGUGCACUGCGUGGGGCUUAGCUGAGGCCCCCCAGCCUGCACACAUCGCGGUGGCCUUGCCUGGUCUGGGAGGCAUUUUGGAGAAAGUAUCAAGACUGGAGGGGAGAACCGGAGGCCCCAGGGGAACUAGGGAAGCUAGAUUCUCACGGCUCCAGGCUGAACCACACCACAGUUUUAGAAGGUCAGAGAAGAAGGUGGCAGUGGCUGGGGUUGGCCAGCCGCCAACCACUCGGGCACGCAUGGACCCCAGCCAGCAGGUGGUCAGACCUGCCCAGAAGCGCAGCCCGCUGCUGACCCGCUGAUCACAACUCGCAUUUACCCAAAUGCACAGGAGAUCUGAAUGUACAUUCGAGACUGAGAAGCUCCUCUCAUCACGGAGUGGCAGUUAGUAACUGCGUGGUCAUGGGCAUUAGCUGGGCUAAUUGUGGUGACCAUUUCCCGGCACGCACAGACCGAAUCCUGACGUCAUACGCUUGCAGCCAAUAUACGGUUAUGUCAAUUUUACCCCAAAUGAAGGGAAAGGAGGACACACCGAACAUCGCGGCUGUGCA
rnacentral:lncRNA from 1 species